rnacentral:lncRNA from 1 species
CUGGAAAGCAAGGGGAAAGGUGGCAGAGAGGGGCUGAGAUCAUGUUUUCCAGCAGCAAUCCCAGGACUGGGUGGAAACCUGGAGGUUUUCAGGAAGGCUGGAGGAGGCUGGCUUAGGAUGAGCUGCUGCAUUGGCUGUGCAGACGUGACCCUCAGGACUUCAUCUGAACCUGUGAAGAGUUUCCAUGCAGGGAAGGGGGGAUGAGUAGAGCUAGGGACCUAAAAUUUGAGAGGGGAAGAUAUUCCCCAGUGGAAGACAGUAAAUCAAAGACUAGAGACCAAGCAUCAGUCUACUGGGUGUUUGCUACACCUCUGAAGAGCUAAGGUUUUCCCUCCUGUUACAGUAAUGGACACUCAACAACACAUACCCUUCCCAGCAACCUGUCCUGCU